rnacentral:lncRNA from 1 species
AUGAUCUUAUAAAUGAUAAUUACCUUCGUCUAAUGCAAAUUAUAGCGUCUAAUUUAAUUAAAUUGAAAAAUCAAUUAGAAUGAGGAUUCAAAGUGUUGCAAAAUAGAUACAUGCAUCUCGAACCUUUGCAUUAAAAGAUAGCUAUGGAGAAAGGAGCACAGGGAGAUAAAUCUCCUUCUUGGACCUAAUAUUCAUUCACAAAAUUUGGGUACUGUAAUAUAUGACCAGUCACAUUUUCAGAUGACAACAUGGCAAUUGCAGCAGCAAGAUCUUCCAUGCUGACCUCUUGCUUUCAGGUGUCACUAAGUUUUGAUUUCAUCUGCAUAAUGAUAGAUGCCUUUUUAAUUGCUUGGAGGUUCCUUUCGACGAUCAACUUUAUUGCCUCUUUCUUUCUUUUCUUUCCCUUAUAGUUUUUGUUAUUAUGUGAAAGCAUCAACCUACUACGAAUACGACGUUAAAAUAGUUUGAUUAAAAAUUUACAUGGACCCUCUCAACUAUAGGCCAUUUUGAAAUUGAACCCUCAAUUAUUUUUCUUUUGAAUUUGGCUUCCUCGACUUUUGAUUUUUUUGAUUCAUGCUAUUUUCACUUGGAGAAUUUGGGGCUGUCAAACAGCUUUAAUUUUUAAUGAUUCUCCUCUUCUAAUGUAUGAAAAUAAUAAAAAAAAAAAAUUAAAGUUUGAGGGAAUAUCAAUCGGAAGAAAAACAGCUGAGGGGUCUAUUUCAAAAUAACCUAUAGUUUGAGCGGGGAUCCCUUUUAACUUUUUCCCAAAAGCUUUUCUGCUUUUAACAAUCCAUGUUUACUUCAUCUUUUAUUUCGGCACUCAUACGGCUGAGCUUUGCUUUAAAUAUUUUGAUAUUUGAAACAACUUGGCUAAUUGGUAUCUCAGGCUUCCUACUUACUGCUAAAUUUGCUUCAGUAUCCAGCAUCAUAUAUUUUACUCGAUGACGAUGAAAUAGUUUGUUGUAAUAUAUGUUGGUUUUGUGAUCCUCUAUUACUUUAAUGUAGUGCGUGUAUAACACAAAAGUUGUCUGACUUAAACUUCUUCGCUUUCAGUCAUUUCAUGUUAUUUCUUUCUUAACUUGCAAGUGUGCAUAAGAACUUACAGCUACUUGCUGGAUACAUGCCUGAAUUUUGUGAGAAAAUCAUUCUAAGCUGUGUUGGGAAUUUGACUAGGUUUACAGAGGAUUUUAUCCGUCCCUAUAUUAGGAAUGUGACUAGGUUUACGGAGUACUUUAUCCCUACCUAUGUGAAUUUCAGAUCUGGUGAUUUUUUUUCUUUUUUUUUUUGUUUCUCUCUCUCAACUUUAUUUAAUAAUUUGUUUUUUGUAGACUUUUGUAUUUUUGACUGCCAUGUAAGGUACCCCAGGGAUGGUUCUUAAAGAGAGAGAGAGAAAAAAAAAAGGGGAAAUUUCUUUGAUUUGUUACAUGAUAGCAGCAUCAUCUGAGUGAUUGGUAAGUAUCUUCUAUAUGAUAGGAGCAAAUUUCUCUUGCAGGUGCUUUAUCGGAAGUGCACUGCUUCAAUAAUGUCGGAUAUAACAAAGUAUGCCUCUAUAACAUUUCCUUCGCAUAUAUUCCCUUACAAACCGAAUUCAUUAAAUUAAUUAUCAUGCUAUGUAACUGCCACACAUAUUCUUGCUAUAUCAGCAAGGCAAAUUUUUCAGUAUCUGGGUUAUAGUUGAAAAAGAUGCUUGGAUUGUACGAGCAAGUUAUAGCCUUUUGUUUAGAAGCCCCCACAUAAACUGUUAAUGAGUAUGUAGUUGGAGUUCAGUUUUGUAAUGAAUAUUUAGCGACAAAGUAUUUGUUUCUUGCUAACUUUUUUUUUUUUAAACCAUACUCCAGGUUGAGACGAAUUGUGGAGUCCAAGGGUAAAUUUAAACUUGAGAGGAUAAUACCUUUGGAGCAGUCAUAAAACGGUUCAACAAUUAUUUACUCGUCAAAAAUGACGAAUAAUUCCGAGUAGAGCCUCGACUACGACUACCCAAUAUUUCUUGCUUUUGCAAAUGAAGAGCACCACUCUACCUUGAUGUUAGUGGCAUAAUGUAACUUUCUAAGUUGGUAAUCAUGCUUUUAAGUUAAAGCUUUGUAGAGAGAGUGAGAAUUGAUGCUUUUAUAAAAACGAAGAAUCUGACAUUCAUUAAAUGAAUAGAGGUACGCAAUGCAAAUCCAUGACCUUGCGCCUCAUUUCUUGUUUAAUUUUCAAGUGAAAUUCCUGUUUUUUUACUUGAAACAGGCAUAAUUCAAAACAAAUCUUCUUGUCCAGUUUGAAAUGAAAUUUGAGCCUGUUUUUACUAAUUUAUGAAAUUUGUGUACAACAAGUCUUUAAAAAACUUUUUUUUUUUUGAAAGGUUUCAUUAGCUGUUUUAUCUGAAAGCGGCAUAAUCCAAAACAAAUCUUCUUGUCCAGUUGAAAUGGAAUUCGAACCUGUUUUUGCAAGCAUUCAAAGAAAGAACUUUUGCAUUCAAGGAGAAAGUUGAACUUGUUCAUGCAAAGAUCUCUCGUAUGAUUCCUUAACUAUGUAUAUUUUUCUUCUUAAACUGUAUUAUGUCACUAAGCUGUAAUGUUAUUAGCUUAAAAAAACCAAAAAAAAUAGAGCUUCACAUGUUGCAUUUAUUAUCUCUUUACAUAAUUGGUCAUUUGAUGAUAACAGGUUGGACUCCGAUUGCGCUAGAACAUAACAGAAGGCUUUUAGAUUUGGUUAUAGAGCCAACUCUCAAACUCAUGGAGUAAGUUCGGGGUGUGAAACUGCUAAACAGAGUAACCAAAUCGAACCAAUGGUUGAGGUCUGGUUUACAUUUUUGUUAUCAUUUUGAGAAAAAAAAAAAACUGGUUGGGUUUUGGGUCAAUAUGGUAGGAUUAGGAACCGUGUUAUUUUGAUUCAGCUUUUGGUUCUGAUCUUGAUUCUGCUGUGUUUGAUUUUGUUACUGCUUUUAUUCAUGAUUCAUGAACUUCCCGUUUGAAGGAAAAAAUUGAGGAAUUUGCAGAGUUUUUGCAUCUGGAGAAGGAUUUAGGUGCUCUUAUUCCUACUGGCAUAUUUGAUCUGAUUUUUUAUUUUUUAAAAUUUUGAAACAGAUUUCUAUAUUGCUCCUAAUUUUACUUUAUAGUACUUUUUUACAGUUCUAGCUGUAUUUACCUGCAGGUAGCUGAUUGGUAAAUGAAUGAGAAGAAAAGGGUUUAGGUAAUAAAUCUGAUGCUUCAACCGAAGUACUAGAACUAGGUGACUCUUUUCAUCUGAUGUGCUAUUUGUGUUUGUGAAUUUCAGUAAAGCCAAUAAAAUAGUAUCCAGUUUCAAAUAGUUUAGAGAGAGCUCUCUAGUCCAAAAUCUAUAUGAAUUCUGUGCAUGAUUCUAUCUUAACGUCACUUGUAGCCACGCAGGACAAGGGGAAUUUUUGUAUUGUCUCCUUAGCGACCAACAAUUGGAAAUUAGUUCAAGGAUUUACCUGUAUGGGCUCUCUUAACCUCAUCAUGAGUCUGAGGCAAAACAUUUUGCUUCAACUAUUUGAUUGGCUUUGUUGUGUUUAAUUACUCUGAAGAUUAUCUGAUUUAUGUGCUUUUUAUGCUCGUGCUAGCGUGAUGAUAGUAGUAUUACAGGGAAAUAAAAUAUAUUCUCCUUCCAGGUGCUAUUGAGUUUAUGGUGCCUCAUGAGUCUAUUGAAAUGCUGCUUUCUCAGAUUAUAGUGGAAUAUUCUUCUUCCAGGUGUGCAAACAAAGUAAAUUCUUCUUCCAGCUGUGCAAAUUGUUUUGUUUAUGGUGCCUCAUGAGUCUAUUGAAAUGUUCUCAUCAUUCUCAGAUUUUAGUAGAAUACAUAAACUUUAAUUCAAAAAAAAAGGCGUAUGGAAUCGGAAUCCGUAACUUAAAGGAAGCAUGUGGUGCAAAGAAGUUAUUGGAUCAAAAUUGCCAAAUUUUACUAUAUUAUCUGAAUAUUAUCGAAUUUUUGCAUUCUGCUGUUGGCUUUUGAACUCUUCGGGCAUCCAAUUAUAUGGGACUCAUACUUCAAUCGGUUGGCUAGCUGUUUAAUCUAGAUUUCUAUUUCGCUUUUGAUGUGAUGGAUUUGUUCAAAAUCCGAAUUUCUUGUUGGAUUUUUCUCUUAUGAAUUGUUUUGAUGGAUUCUUUUCACUUUUCUGCUUUUCUUUUCUUAGUUUAGUUUAUAGCUCGGAAUUCUUUGAAAAGUUGAUGCGUCUAAUUUAAUAUGAUACACUCGUCAAAUAUGAACUUCUUAUUUGGUUCCAUAGGAAUAUUUUUUUGUUGCAAUGAUAGGUCUUCUAUUUUACUGCAGAGUAUUGUUGGAUUUUUGUCUUAUGAAUUGUUUUGAUGGAUUCUUUUCACUUUUCUGCUUUUCUUUUCUUAGUUUAGUUUAUAGCUCGGAUUUCCGCGAAAAGUUGAUGCGUCUAAUUUGAUAUGAUACACUCGUCAAAUAUUUGGAAAAUAUGAAGUGCCAAAAUCUUGCAGCGAACUGGUCCUUUUUCGCCAAUUUAAACUACAUUAUUAUGUGUGAGGCAUAGUGAACAAUGAGAUUGGAAAGGAGUCGGCAAUGUCUAAUACAUAACAGGGCAAGGUAGUUGAAGAUACAAUUAGGUUUUCUCUUUCUUUGCUUUCUCUAGAACAAAUUAUCUUGAUAGAUUUUCCAUGUAUUCUUCUUGCUAUCAUUGCUACUGCCUUAUCUUAUGCGUUUUCUGGCAAGGUGGGAUACAUUUCUUUCCUUAGAAGUUUUUAUUAGGUGAUAAUGUAGUUCUUUUAUAGUUGAUCAACUCACACAAUCAGUAGAGCAAGCCAUAUGAAGCUUAAACGAGAUGAGCAUAAUAAUGUAAGAAAAAUAAAUGCUCUAGAAACUAGUACGCAUUCAUCUGAAUUACAUCAUUUUGUCUUUUGUUUAGUUUAUUCUCGAAUUUAGGUGCUUGAAAAAAAUACUGUUUUGGUUGAAAGUUGUUAAAAUAGACUCUGCACAAGAGAAGUUUAACUGUAAGUCGGAGUUUUCCCACAGUUUUGUUUAUCUCUUUGUUAAAUUAGGCCUCUAGAUUCUGUACAAUAUUCCAAAUCUUUUAAACUAACAAUUUUUGUUGGAGAGAGAUCCAUGUGGCUGUUUCAAAUAUAUCAUGGUCUAGUCAUAGAGAUCGAAGACAAAAUUUACUUGACUCCUAAAUUUAAUUUGAUCUUGUUAAGUUAAAUAAAUGAAUAACUGAAACGAUCUGAAUUAUAUAAUUGUCAUAAAUGGCAGCUAAGCUUCAUGUAUUCUAGAAUGUCGGCACUCGUCUUCAAUUGGCUGCAGCAAGUUAUUAUGCAGCAAUGUGCUUUACUUUUUUCUCUCUUGUUCUUGGUCUUUCUUCGUCCAUAUAAGCUGAUCAGUUAUCAUAUACCAGGAGAGAAGAACGUCGCUCUGAUUUAACAAUGAGGUAUGUUUUGAGUCAGAUAUUUUAUUAUCAUCUAUAGAGCCUUCAAUAAAUAUGCUUUUUUUGCAGGCAUAAUUCAAAGCAAAUCUCCUUGUCCAGAGACAGGCGAGCUUGGUUUUGCUAAUUCACAAACUUUGUGCAACAUAACUUACAUGCAAAGAGGUAGUCUAAUUUGUUCAUGCAAGGAUUUUGCAAGAUACAACCAUCUCUGGUAUGAUUCCUAAACUGUAAUAUUUUUAUCUGAAAAAACUAAUUUUAUAUGUUGCUUUUAUUGUUUCUUUAUUAAUUUGUUAUGGUUAUUUGUAGAACAGGUUGGACCCUGAAAAUUCAAAAGGUGUACCUAGUCAGAAGGUAAAGUGUAUUGGGAAUCCCUUCAACAAUACACUAGCUUAAAUUGGCCACCUCCACUUAUUUUUAUUUUUUUUUUCAUUGAACCUCCUUAACUUUAAUUUUUUGAAAUUACAUGAUUUUAUUUAAUUAAAAUUAUGAAUUUUAUCAAAUUAAUUAUUUAUUUCAUCAAAUUUAAUGGUUUGAUUAAUUUUUAGCGAAUGAAGUAAAUAUUUCACGUUUAAUAUUUUAACGGAAUUAUUAAAUUUUUAAAAAAUAAACUAUCUAGAAUAACUUGAAUAAAAAAAUUAUAAGUUAUGGAGGUGUUUAUUUGUUAUGGCCCAUUGUUCUUUUUUGGUGGUGUUCGGCUCAUUAAUUUCGAACGUUAAGCUAUAUAGUACCGUCUUUACUUUUAAGCUAUUGCCACUUUAUCCAUUCCCAUCAGUUCUCUUCUAGUUCUUAUCAUAAAAUGCAAUAAAAAUUUUCGUUGAUGUCUGGAAAUACUAAAACUGCCCUUUUUCGAAAGGUAAAGGAAUGGGAUAAAACCAGGGAGUUUCUGUAUUAGUAUUUCAUUCAAAAUUUCAUUUUAUGUUCCAAAAGAUUGUUGAUAAGGAACUGACAUGAGGAGGUAUAGUAAUAAUGAUUUAAAACAAUCAAAGGGUAAUGUUUAGGUUUUUAAAGUUCAGCAUGGCAAAGUAAUAACGGCUAUUUAGUUCAGAAGAGUCUUCUGCAUUUUAGUUCUCCUUUUUUCUAAAAAAAAUUAAUUAGCUGUAUGUACUGGACGAGAAUUAAAGUCUGUCUUUUUGUUUUUAUUUGAGACUGAAAUUUCAUCCUCUUUUGAGUGCUGUUGCCUGGAGAUUUCUUAACUGCACCAUAUCACGUGGAGAUCAUUUUUGGCAUGAGAAGAUACAAAGAGGAAACCUCGCAUUUACGACUACGUAGGCACUCAUUUUCACUUGGCCACAGCAAGGUAUAAUGCAGCAAACACUCCUUUUUGCCCUUGGUCCUUAGUCACCUAUUUAAACUGAUCUAUUAUGAUAUGCUGGGAGAGAUCUGAUUAUGUUUAAAAAUGAUGUGUGUUUUGAAAUUUGAAUCAUAUGUUUGUCAACAGUCAGCUAACUGUUUAUUCUAAUCAAUAAAUCUUUUCAAUAAAUUGCAUUUUUUGUAAGCAUACUUCAAAUAGUUCUCCUUGUCCAACUUGAAGUAGAAUUCGGACCUAAUUUUUCCUAAUUUAAAAACUUUGUGUACCCUAAUUACGAGAAACCAAAGAACACACAUGCAAAGAGAUAGUGGAACUUGUUCAUGCAAGGAUCUUGCAAUACAAUAGAAAACCCAAGGAUAAUAGUUUAUAGUUCCUCAGCCAUCUCUAGUACGAUUCAUAAACUCUAAUAUAGUUGGUUGAAAAACUACAAUUUUAUAUGUUGUUUUUGUCUCUUUAAUUAAUUGGUUAUAUUGGACAGGUUGAACCCCGAUGGGUUCAAAGUUCAAACAGUCCGAUACAGGUGUUAGCCAAAUUGGAAGACCUCAAAGAGGAAACUUGUUACAAAUGGCCAUUGCACUGAAGCAGGAAUUUACGUCCAAUCACGGAUUUACCCAGCGGUGCGAAAUUCUUCGAAAAUCAGCUGUUGCACGUUCAUUGAAGAUAAAAAUGUAAAACACUCUUUUUUCAAGGUAUAGGUGUAUUUCUCCUAUUUGUUUCAUUUAAUAAAAAUGUGAGUUACAUGUACAAACAAGUACAAAAUACAAUAAGUGAUGGUAAGAUACAACUCCCAGUUAUGAUAACUUUAACUAACUACAUAGGUACACUAUGUGGACUUUUCUUCCCAUUUCAACAGUUCAUCAAUAAUUCCUAUUGAAAAUUCUAUCGUUCCAUUCCUUCCACAUGUUCCAGGAGAAGGUGGUGAACGUUGAGUUCAUCGUGCCUUGCAGGUCUACCAGAAUGCUUCCUCUCAACAUUCUCAUGUUUCAGUAAUUGUUUUUUCCGUUUUUAUUUUUCUUCCAUUUUAAGUGAAUGAUCUUUAGGGUUACAAAUUCAUCCCAGGUUAAUCAUACAUAAAAUUUAAUAAAAGAGUCAUUUCGGAGGAUUCUCACCAGUAACCUCGAAUGGAACCGGAAUCCUUUCUUGUAAAACCAAGCCUUCUGCUUUUGCUGAAUGAUCUUUUAUGAUGUCAGCUCCAGUGUGGCUUCUUCUUGCACUCAUAUUAAGUCAGCAAGGCAACAUAGAUAUGUUUUGCCAGUGGGUUUUAUUCUCUCUUUGCAUUUGAAGUUAUUUUGAACUGAAAUUGCCAAAUUUUAUUUAAUUACCCAAGUCAUAUUUGUGAUUCUGCCACUGGCGUGAACUCUUUUGUCAUCCAAUUAUGGGACUCAAGCUCCAAAUGGCUGGUUACUAUUUUGGUCUAGAUUUAUACUUUACUUUUGAAGUGAUGAAUUUGUUCAAAAUCUUAACUUCUUGUUGGAUUUCAUGUAAAACUUGGGUUUUUUUUUACUGAGCUAUUUUGAUGGACUUUUGGGUUUUUUUUUUCUUUGAGCUUUUUCUUCCUUUAACUUAUAGCUGAGAACUUUGAAGGUGGUUGGUCUCAAUUCGGUGAUACAUUCAAUUAAAUAAAAAAUUCUUGUUUGGUUUUGUGUAAAAUAUUUUAUUGUUGAAGUGAUGGUUCUUCCUUUUGGGUUUUUUUUUUGUCUUUAAGCUUUUUCUUCCUUUAACUUAGAGCUUAGAACUUUAAAAGAAGGUGGCUGGUCUCAAUUCGGUGAUACAUUCAAUUAAAUACAAAAUUCUUGUUUGGUUUUGUGUAAAAUAUUUUAUUGUUGAAGUGAUGGUUCUUCCUUUUUAUUGCAGAGUCGUAGCUAGUGGCACCGUUGCAUCAGCUGCAGGAGAGAAAAUGCGGAGGUUUUGGAAAAUGUAUUUGGAAAACGUGAAGUGCCAAACCCUGUAGCUAGAUAGCAAGAACAAGUCACGAGGCUUGCCAAUAGAAUUUUUAAAACCGAGAUUCAAGAAAAUUAGUACCCUCCAUCUGUACUUCAGGUAAAUUCAUUAGUAAGUUCCUCAGAUUUCCUUACUAUUUUUGAAGAUUUGCAUCCUGCUGAACAUCACCGGAAUACAAAAUAAAAUCAUAAAAAUGAAUUUGUGUGAAAUUUUUAGAUAUCAUUUUGGUCACGUCUCCUGGAUUUUUCAUUCUGUGUUUGCAACAGUUAUCAUAGUAUCUUUUUUCAGUUAUCAUCAGUUAUCGUAGUACCAGUUAACUGUUCAUAUUUGCACACGAUUUAGUGUACACAUAGGAACCCGUAAUCAAAAUUUGAUGGGAUAUCUUCGCUUCAGAACAAAACAAUUAGAAUGAGGCUAGAUAAUAAUCUUAGAAAUGACUUCAGAAUAUCUUCCCUUGAUCUUGUAUUCUUAGAAUUAGUUUUACUGUCACCUAAAGAGGUAAUAAAAAUGAAGUUUGGUGUGUGAAAUGCAUGCAAAAUAGUAUAAUUGUAGUUUGCAGUGCUGGUAUUGUGCAAGGUACUAUUAGGGAUUAGAACACCUGAACAUUUAUCUGACAGAAAUCAUUAUUAAUGUUUUUAUUAUUUGAUUCCUUGUGACAUGAAGAUUGUUCAUCAACCAUCAUGCUCUUGCUAGCGUACUGUAUAAACUCACUAGUCUGAGAGCAACUUUAUUAUGUAAUAAUUUGUUACAUGACAAAAUAUUUGCCAUCAUGUUUCAGUUUUCUGAUCUCUUGAUGUUUAGAUAUAUUCAGCAGCCUAAGCGGACCAUUGGAUCAAUCUUUUACAUCUCCGAGAAUUGAUUUAAUCUUUAUUCCAAAUCUACUCAUUGUCAGAAAGUUCAGCAUCAUAAAUAGGGAUGAGGUGUACAACCAUCUCUCUACCUCCUAAUUUAGAGAAUUCACUCAAUGUAUGCUUCCUUCAAAAUGAUCUAGAUUUUGAAUCUUACAUUAAAUAAUAUUUCCUUCUGCAUGCCUAUCAAAAUCAUUUAAUCUCAGUACAUGUGGUCUUCAGCAUGCUAUAAGAUUUGCUGUAUCACUCUUUCUUGAACUACUCUCAAACAUGAAUGCAUGAUACAGUUUCUUGCUUUUUCCUAAAUGAAAUUCUCAGUUAAUAGACUGCCAAUUUGUAAUCUUUUGGCUUUUUUCAUUUGCUGAGAAUUGAUUUCUGAAAGCCACUAAAUAAAAGGCAUAAGAUGUUUCUUAUUACUUAUCUGGAUAUCGCUGCUUAAUUUCUAUGUGAUUACUAGAGCAAGCUCAGUGAAGAUUUCUUGGUGGGCUGCUUAAUUAGCUGUGAGUGUUAGCUCCAAUACUCACAUUCUACAAGGGAAAUCUGCCCCCACAUGUCCAUUGUGGAGUAUCAUGGAAUUUUGUACCUAAAUUGGGACAAUUUCGUAAGUUUCUAUGGUGGGUGAUAUACAUGUCUAUGGGAAAUGUCGAGUUUUUAUUUGCAUGGCAUUGUACAUGGAUGAUCUUAUAAAUGAUAAUUACCUUAGUCUGAUGCAAAUUAUAGUGUCUAAUUUAAUUAAAUUGAAAAAUCGAUUAGAAUGAGGAUUCAAAAUGCUGUAAAAAAGAUACAUGCAUCUUGAACCUUCGCAUUAAAAGAUCUUCCAUGCUGACCUCUUGCUUUCAGGUGUCACUAAGUUGGCUGCAUAAUGGUAGAUGCCUUUUUAAUUGCUGUGGAGGUUCCUUUCGACGAUCAACUUUAUUGCCUCUUUCUUUCUUUUCUUUCCCUUAUAGUUUUUGUCAUUAUGUGGAAGCAUCAACCUACUGCGAAUACUACGUUAAAAUAAUUUGGAUUAAAAAUUUACUACAUAGAUUCUCUCAACUAUAGGCCAUUUUGAAAUUGAAACCUCAAUUAUUUUUCUUUUGAUUUUGGCUUCCUCGACUUUUGAUUAUUUUGAUUCAUGUUAUUUUCACUUGGAGAAUUUGGGGCUGUCAAACAGCUUUAAUUUUUAAUGAUUCUCCUCUUCUAAUGUAUGAAAAUAAUUAAAAAGAAAUUAAAAUUUUGAGGGAAUAUCAAUCGGAAGAAAAACAGCUGAGGGGUCUAUUUCAAAAUAACCUACAGUUUGAGGGGGAUCUCCAUAAAUUUUCCCAAUAGGUUUUCUGCUUUUAACAAUCCAUGCUUACUUCAUCUUUUAUUCUAGCACUCGUAUGGCUGAGCUUUGCUUUAAAUAUUUUGAUAUUUGAAACAACUUGGCUAAUUGGUAUCUCAGUCUUUCAAGUUUCAACUUACUAUUAAAUUUGCUUCAGUAUCCAGCAUCAUAUAUUUUACUUGAUGACAAUGAAACAGUUUGUUGUAAUAUAUGUUGAUUUUGUUAUCCUCUAUUACUUUAAUGUAGUGCGUGUAUAACACAAUAGUUGUCUGAUUUAUACUUCUUCGCUUUCAGUCAUUUCAUGGUAUUUCUUCUUAACUGCAAGCGUGCAUAACAACUUAACACUACUUGCUGGAUAGAUACCUGAAAUUUGUGAGAAAAUCAUUGCAAUCUGUGUUGGGAAUUUGACUAGGUUUACAAAGGAUUUCAUCCAUUCCUAUGUUAGGAGCGUGGCUAGGUUUACAGAGUAUUUUUAUGUGAAUUUCGAUCUGGUGAUUCUUUUCUUCUCUCUUUUUUUUUUUUUGUUUUUCUCUCUCAACUUUAUUUAAUAAUUUGUUUUUAGUAGACUUUUGUAUUUUUGACUGUCAUGUAAGGUAGCCAGGGGAUGGUUCUUAAAGAGAGAUUAAAAAAGGGUAAGUUCUUUGAUUUGUUACAUGGUAGCAGAAUCUGAGUAUUUUGGUAAGUAUCUUCUGUAUGAUAGGAACAAAUUUCUCUUGCAGGUGCUUUAUCGAAAGUGCACUGCUUCAAUCUCGUCAGAUAAGACAAAGUAUGCCUCUAUAACUUUUCCUGUGCAUAUAUUCCUUUACAAACUGAAUUCAUAAAUUAAUACAUAACUGCCAUAUUUUCUUGCUAUAUCAGCCAAAAUUUUCAGUAUCUGGGUUAUAGUUGAAAAAGAAGCUUGAAUUGCAUGAGCAAGUUAUAGCCUUUUGUUUAGAAGCCCCCACAUAAACUGUUAACGAGUAAGUAGUUGGAGUUCAUUUUUGUAAUGAAUAUUUAGCAACAAAGUAUUUGUUUCUUGCUAAAUUUUUUUAAUUUUUUUUAAAAAAAAAAAAACUAUACUCCAGGCAAGAGACGAAUUGUGGAGUGGUAAGUUUAAACUGAGAGGAUAAUAUCUUUGGAGCAGUCAUAAAACGGCUCAACGAUGAUUUAUUCGUCAAGCAUGACAAGUAGUUCCGACUAGAGCCUCGAUUACGACUACCCAAUAUUUCUUGCUUUUGCAAAUGAAGAGCACCACUCUACCUUGAUGUUAGUGGCAUAAUGUGACUUUCUAAGUUGGUAAUCAUGCUUUCAAGUUAAUGCUUUGUAGAGAGAGUGAGAAUUGAAGCUUUUAUAAAAACAAAGAAUCUGUCAUUCAUUAAAUGUAUAGAGGUACGCAGUGCAAAUCCAUGACCUUGUGCCUGAUUUCUUGUUUUUUUUUUACGGAAAUUCCUUUUUUUUCCUUGCACCUGAUUUCUUUUUUUUUUAGGGAGAUUCCUUUUUUUUUUCUUGAAACAAGCAAAACUCAAAACAAAUCUUGUCCAGUUUGAAAUGAAGUUUGAGCCUGUUUUUACUAAUUUAUGAAACUUGUGCACGACAAGUCAUCACUGUUUAAAAAAGCGCGCCUAGGCGCAGCGCCUAGGCGCCUAGGCUCUAGGCGCACAGGCCAGCGCCUAGAGUAGCUCUAGGCGGGCGCCAUGAUUCAGGCGCGCGCCUAGGCAGCCUAGGCGCGCGCCUGGGCCUAGGCGCAAGGCGCUCUCAAGGCGCGCCUAGGUAAUAUUUAUAGUAACGGGUUUGGAUCCAGAUUUUAUUGGUCUAACGGGUUGAAAUAUCUAAAAUAAACCCAAUACCCUAAACUAAACCCUAAAUAAUCAUCAAUUAUUUCCCUAUUCCUUUCUCCCUGUCCGCUCUUCCCUCUCCCUCUCCGCUCGGCCCCUCUCCCUCUCCGCUCGCCCGCUCGGCCAUCUCUCUCUCUCCGGCGCUCCCUCUCCGGUUGUCCUUGCUUCCGGCACCUCCUCCUUGCUUCUUCAACUCGCUCGCCUCUUCUUCUAAGGUUUUUUGUCUCUUCCUUGGCCUCUCUCUAGUUUCUCUUUUAGUUUUUUGUGUAUAUUUCUAUUUUUUUUUUUAAAGCAGUGCUUUCUAUGCUUUUUUUUUAAGUAGAAAUUUUCUGUUUUAUUUUUUAAAAAAACAGCAUUUUACUUGAAAAUAAAACAGCAUUUUAACAUUUUAAAAAACAGCAUUUUACUUGAAAAAACAGCAUUUUACUUGAUAAGAUGAACUUUUUUUAAAGUAAAAAAAGUCCUUGAAAAUAAAAAAUGAUCAUACAUAUUUGCUAAAUUGCAGUUUAGUAUUUUUGAAUGGAUUCGAAAGCAACCGAAAGAGAUCCUGCAUGGAAGUAUGUAUCUUUAUCUUUCACAUGAUCAUGAUGCUUUUUUAAUGUUUUUGGCUUGAAACUUUAAACUUUUUAACUUUUAAGCAUAUUACUUUUUUAUGAUCUUGUGCUUAUGAUUAUAUGCUUUUCACAUCUAACUUUUCUAUAUGUUUGUGAAUUAAUACUUACAUUUAUGCUGUCCUUUAUUUUGAGAUAAAAAGGUAAUUUACACUUAGUAUAUGAUUUUAUAUAGUAUAUUUAAUGCUGCUUAACAAUUAGUAGAAAGAAUGGUAAGAAACUUCUUGAUUAUUUACUUAUUUCAAAAUUUUAUGAAAGUGUGCGCCUGACCUCUCUCGGGCGCGCGCCUGCGCCUUGCGCCUUGCGCCUAGGCUCCAACAGGCCUUUGCGCCUAGGUGCGCCUUGGGCUUUUUUAAACACUGCAAGUCAUUAAAAAACUAUUUUUUUUUCUUUUUCUUCUUUUUUUUUGGAAAGGUUUGAUUAAUUGUUUUAUCUGAAAGUGGCAUAAUCCAAAACAAAUCUUCUUGUCCAGUUGAAUUGGAAUUCAAACCUGUUUUUGCAAGCAUUCAAAGAAAGAACUUUUGCAUUCAAGGGGAAAGUUGAACUUGUUCAUGCAAAGAUCUCUCCUAUGAUUCCUUAACUGUGUAUAUUUUUCUUCUUAAACUGUAUUAUGUCACUAAGCUGUAAUGUUACUAGCUUAAAAAAACCAAAAAAAAUAGAGCUUCAUAUGUUGCAUUUAUUAUCUCUUUACAUAAUUGGUCAUUUGAUGGUAACAGGUCGGACUCCGAUUGCGCUAUAACAUAAUGGAAGGCUUUUAGAUUUGGUCAUAGAGCCAGCUCUCAAACUCAUGGAGUAAGUUAGGGGUGUGAAACUGCUAAACAGAGUAACUAAAUUGAACCAAUGGUUUAGGUCUGGUUUAGAUUUUCUUUAUCAUUUUGAGGAAAAAAAAAAACUGGUUGGGUUUUGGGUCAAUAUGGUAGGAACUAGGAACUGCAUUAUUUUGAUUAGCUUUCAGUACUGAUCAUGAGAAAUGGCUUAAAACAAACCAGCCGGUUAGUAUGUCAUAUUUUUAAACCAAACCGGCCUUAGUCCCUGUGGUUUGAUCUUAGCUCAUUGUACUUGACAUUGGAAGGUUAACGUGCGCAUUACCACGUGAUGAAGCGCAGGAUAGCAUGAAGGCAAUGGACGAGGGCUACAUAAUUGUUUCGCCCUCCAUGCGCCAUUCCGAUCUAAAUCGGGACCAAUUGCUCUUCUCCUUCUCUCCUCCUCUCUUCCACUUGUCGGUGACUCCAAAACCAACGGAGUCGAAGUGCAAACUAAACCCUAAGGUACUAACUCGAAUGCUCCUAAUCUUCGAAGGAUCAAAUAAAUCCCUUUUCCAUUGUAAGAAUUUGAUCUCUCUAUCUCUCCCUCCAAUGUGAUGAAGGAUCAGAUACCUCUUCCAUUCCCUCCAUCGAAUCCUCGAUUUGAAGCCAAGACUGAUCUCGAUCUUGACCUCUCUUGUCGAUUUGAGAUCACAGGAUCCCUGAUCUAUUAAAAAGUCCGAGUACGUUUUGAUCUAAAGAAAGCGAGAUGAUUCUUUGACGCGAACUAUAUAUCUUGCAAUGCUUGAUCGUGAUUCUGCUGUGUUUGAUUUUGUUCCUGCUUUUAUUCAUGAUUCAUGAACUUUCUGUUUGAAGGAAAAGAUUGAGGAAUUUGCCGAGUUUUUGCAUCUGGAGAAGAAGGAUUUAGGUGCUCUUAUUCCAACUAACGUAUCUGAUCUGAUUUUUUUUUUAAAAAAAUUGAAACAACUUUCUAUAAUGCUCGUAAUUUUUCUUUCUAGUACUUCUUUACAGUUCUAGCUGAAUUUACCUGCAGGUAGCUAAUUGAUAAAUGAACGAGAAGAAAAGGGUUUAGGUGUAAUCGAAGUUCUAGAACUAGGUGAUCUUUUCAUCUGAUGUGCUAUUUGUGUUUGUGAAUUUCAGGAAAGCCAAUUAAAAAGUUUCCAGUUUCAAAUAGUUUAGAGAGAGCUCUCUAGUCCAAACUCUAUAUGAAUUCUGUGAAUGAUUCUAUCUUAACAUCACUUGUAGCCACGCAGGACAAGGGGAAUUUAUGUAUUGUCCCCUUAGUGACCAACAAUUGGAAAUUUGUUUAAUGAUUUACCUGUAUGGGUUCUCUAAUCUCAUCAUGAGUUUGAGGCAAAACAUUUUGCUUCUACUAGUUGAUUGGCUUUGUUGUGUUUAAUUACUCUGAAGAUUAUUUGAUUUAUGUGCUUCUUAUGCUGGUGCUAGCGUGAUGAUAGUGUUAUUACAGGGAAGUAAAAUAUAUUCUCCGUCCAGGUGCACAAAUUAUUGAGUUUAUGGUGCCUCGUGAGUCUAUUGGAAUGCUGCUUCUCAACAUUCUCAGAUUUUAGUGGAAUAUUCUUCUUCCAGGUGUGCAAAUAAAGUAAAUUCUUCUUCCAGCUGUGCAAAUUAUUGAGUUUGAGUUUAUAGUGCCUCGUUAGUCUAUUGAAAUGCUGCUUCUCAACAUUCUUAGAUUUUGUAGAAUACAUAAACUUUAAUUCAAAAAAAAAGAGUAUGGAAUCAGAAUCCGUAACUUUCUUUACAUUUGAAGUUAUUGGAUCAAAAUUGCCAAAUAUUAUAACUUAUCUGAAUAUCAUCGAAUAUUUGCAUUCUGCUGUUAGUUUUUGAACUCUUCAGGCAUCCAAUUGUGGGACUCAAACUUCAAUUGGUUGUCUAGCUGUUUAAUCUAGAUUUGUAUUUCGCUUUUGAUGUGAUGGAUUUGUUCAAAAUCCAAAUAUCUUGUUGGAUUUCAUACAAAACUGUUGGAUUUUUUUUGUCUUAUGAAUUGUUUUGAUUGAUUCUUUUUGCUUUUCUGUUUUUCUUUUCUUACUUUAGUUUAUAGCUGGGAACUUCUUAUUUGGUUCCAUAGAGAAUAUUUUAUUGUUGCAAUGAUAGGUCUUCUAUUUCACUGCAUAGUCUUGAUGGUUGCACCAUUGCAUUGAAAUUGUAUUUGGAAAAUGCUAAUUAAAUGAAGUGGUAGCAGCCUACCAUUUUCUCAAAAAAAAGAAAGGAAAGAAAAUGUAUUUGGAAAAUGUGAAGUGCCAAAACCUUGCAGCGAGAUAGCAAAAACUGGUCCUUUUGCCCAUUUAAACUACAUUAUUAUGUGUGAAGCAUAGUGAACAAUGAGAUUGGAAAGGAGUCAGCAACGUCUAAUACAUAACAGGGCAAGGUAGUUGAAGAUACGAUUAAAUUUUCUCUCUCUUUGCUUUCUCCAGAACAAAUUAUCUUGAUAGAUUUUCCAUGUAUUCUUCUUGCUAUCAUUGCGACUCCCUUAUCUUAUGUGUUUUCUGGCAAGGUGGGAUACAUUUCUUUCCUUAAAGUUUUUAUUACGUGAUAAUGUAGUUCUUUUAUAGUUGAUCAACUCACACAAUCAGUAGAGCAAGCCAUAUGAAUCUUAAACGAGAUGAGCAUAAUAAUGUAAGAGACAUAAAUGCUCUAGAAACUAGUAAGCAUUCAUCUGAAUUACAUCAUUUUGUCUUUUGUUUAGUUUAUUCUCGAAUUUAGGUGCUUGAAAAAAAUACUGUUUUGGUUGAAAGUUGUUAAAAUAGACUCUGCACAAGAGAAGUUUAACUGUAAGUCGGAGUUUUCCCACAAUUUUGUUUAUCUCUUUGUUAAAUUAGGCCCGUAGAUUCUGUACAAUAUUCCAAAUCUUUUAAACUAACAAUUUUUGUUAGAGGGAGAUCCAUGUGGCUAUUUCAAAUAUAUCAUGGUCUGGUCAUAGAGAUCGAAGACAAAAAUUUACUUGACUCCUAAAUUUAAUUUGAUCUUGUUUAGUUAAAUAAAUGAAUAACUGAAACGAUCUGAAUUAUAUAAUUGUCAUAAAUGGCAACUAAGCUUCAUGUAUUCUAGAAUGUCGGCACUCGUCUUCAAUUGGCUGCAGCAAGUUAUUAUGCAACAAUAUGCUUUACUUUUUUCUCUCUUGCUCUGGGUCUUUAUUCGUCCAUAUAAGCUGAUUUGUUAUCAUAUACCAGGAGAGAAGAACAUCGCUCUGAUUUAACAAUGAGGUAUGUUUUGAGUCAGAUAUUUUAUUAUCAUAUGUAGAGCCUUCAAUAAAUACUACUUUUUUGCAGGCAUGAUUCAAAGCAAAUCUCCUUGUCCAGAGACAGGCGAGCUUGGUUUUGCUAAUUUACAAACUUUGUGGACCAUAACUUACAUGCAAAGAGGUAGUCUAAUUUGUUCAUGCAAGGAUUUUGCAAGAUACAGCCAUCUCCUGUAUGAUUCCUAAACUGUAAUACUUUUAUCUGAAAAAACUAAUUUUUAUAUGUUGCUUUUAUUGUUUCUUUAUUAAUUCGUUAUGGUUAUUUGUAGGACAGGUUGGACCCUAACAAUUCAAAUGGUGUACCUAGUUAGAGGGUAAAGGUGUAUUGGGAAUCCCUUCAACAAUACGCUAGUUUAAAAUGGCCACCUCCGCUCAUUUUUAUUUUUUUUCCCUUGCACCUCCUUAACUUUAAUUUUUUGAAAUUACAUGAUUUUAUUUAAUUAAAAUUAUAAAUUAUAUCAAAUUUAAUGCUUUGAUUAAUUUUUAGCGAAUAAAGUAAACAUUUAAUGUCUAAUAUUUUAACAGAAUUAUUAAAAUUUUAAAAAAUAAACUAUCUAGAGUUAACUCGAAUAAAAAAAUUAUAAGUUAUGGAGGUGUUUAUAAGUUAGGGCCCAUUAUUCUUUUAUGGUGGCGUUCGGCUCAUUAAUUUCGACUUUUAAGCUAUAUAGUACCCUCUCAACUUUUAAGCUAUUGCCAUUGUAUCCCUUCGCAUCAUUUCUCUGUUAGAUAUUAUUAUAAAAUACAAUACUAAUAUAUGUUGAUUUAUGAAAAUACUAAAAUUGCCCUUUUUGGAAAUGUAACGGAAUGGGGUACAGCCAGGGUAUUUUCUGUAUUAAUAUUUCAUUCAACAUUUCAUUUUGUGUUCCGAAAGAUAGUUGAUAGGGAACUGACAUGGUUUCAGUUUUUAAAGUUCAGCAUGGCAAAGUAAUAAUGGUUAUAUAGUUAAGAAGAGUUUUCUGCAUUUUAAUUCUUCGUUUUCUUUUUUUAAUUAGCGAUACCAACUAGACGAGAAUUGAAGUCUGUUUUUUUUGUUUUAUUUGAGACUGAAAUUUCAUCCUUUUUUGAGUGUCGUUGCUUGAAGAUUUCUUAACUCCACCAUAUCACGUGGAGAUCAUUUUUGGCAUGAGAGAGUACAAAGAGGAAACCUCGCAACAACAACUACUAAGGCACUCCAUUUUCACGUGGCCACAACAAGGUAUAAUGCAUCAAACACUCCUUGUUGCCCUUAGUCCUUAGUCACCUAUUUAAACUGAUCUAUUAUGAUAUGCCAGGAGGGGUCUGAUUAUGUUUAAAAAUGAGGGUAAGUUUUGAACUUUGGAUCAUAUGUUUGUCAACAGUCGGCUAACUGUUUAUCCUAAUCAUUAAAUCUUUUCAAUAAAUUCCAUUUUUUGUAGGCAUACUUCAAACAGAUCUCCUUGUUCAACUUGACGUAGAAUUUGGACUUAAUUUUUCCUAAUUUAAAAACUUUGUGCACCUUAAUUACAAGAAACCAAAGAAUGCAUUUACAUGCAAAGAGGUAGUGGAACAUGUUCAUGCAAGGAUCUUGCAAUACAACAGAAAACCCAAGGAUCUUGCAAGCCGUCUGCUCUUGCUGAAUAAUCUUUUAUGAUGUCAUCAAGACAACAUAGGUAUAUCUGCCAGUGGGUUUUAUGUUCUCUUUGCAUUUGAAGUUAUUUUGGGCUGAAAUUGCCAAAUUUUUUAUUUAAUUAUCCACAUCAAAUUUUUGCAUUCUGCCAUUGGUUUGAACUCUUCUGGCAUCCAAUUAUGGGACUCGAGCUCCAAUUGGCUAUUUACCGUUUUGGUCUAGAUUUAUAUUUUACUUUUGAAGCGAUGAAUUUGUUCAAAACCUGAACUUCCUUGUUGGAUUUCAUGUAAAACUUGAUUUUUUUUUCUUAUGAACUAUUUUGAUGGACUUUUGGGUUCUUAUUUUUCUGUGUUUUUACAGCUGAGAACUUUGAGAGGUGGUGGUUGAUCUCAAUUCAGAGAUGUAUUAAAUUAAAUACAAAAUUAUUGUUUGGUUUCAUGUAAAAUAUUUUAUUGUUGAAAUGAUAGUUCUUCCUUUUAAUUGCAGAGUCGUUGAUGGUGGCACCAUUGCCCCAAGCUUUAGGGGAGAAAAUGUGGAGGUUUUUAAAAAUGUAAUUUGAAAACGUGAAGCGCCAAACCCUAUAGCUAGAUAGCAUGAACAGAUUAUCUUUCCAGUUUUAACAAAUCACGAGACUUGCAAAUUGAAUUUUCGAAAGUGAGGUUCCAAAAAAUUUAGUACCCUCCAUCUGUACUCCAGGUAAGUUCAUUAGUAAGUUCCUCAGAUUUCUCUAUUAUAUUUGAAGAUUUCGUAUUCUGCUGAACGUCACCAGAAUACAAAAAUAAAAUCAUAAAAAUGAUUUUGUGUGAAAUUUUUAGAUAUCAUUUUGAUCACGUCUCAUGGAUAUAUGUCAUUGCAGUUGCAUCAGUUAUCAUCGCAUAUUUUUUCAGUUUUAAUAAUGCUUGACUGUGGUAUCCUCAUGUUUCUGAAUUCUGAUAGGAUCUUCUUGACAUUUGAUGAAAACAUGGCUAGAAUUUCACAAAAGGACUUGCCACUUUAUUUUUGUCAUUAUCCUAUUAUGAUGCCGUAGACCAAAAUUCCCAGUUAACUGUUCAUACUUGCACACGAAUUAAUAUACACAUAAGAAACCCUAUUCAAAAUCACUGAUUGGACAUCUUUGCUUUGGAACAAAACAAUUAGAAUGAGGCUAGAUAAUAUUAGAAAUGACAUCAGAAUAUUUUCCCUUGAGUUUGUAUUCUUGGAAUUAGCUUACUAUGUGUCCUACAUAGGUAAUAAUAAAAUGAAGUUUGGUGUUUGAAAUGCAUGCGAAAUAGUAUAAUUUUAAGUUUGCAGUGCUUGAUAUUUGGGCAAGGUACUAAUAGGGAUUAGAACACAUGAGAAUUUUAUCACAGAAAUCAUUAAUAACAUUUUUAUUAUUUGAUCCCUUCUGACAUGUGGAUUGGUCAUCAACCAUCAUGCUCAUGUUAGUGUACUUUAUAAACUCACAAGUCAGAGAGCAACUUUAUUAUGUAAUAGUUUGUUGCGUGACAAAGUAUUUGCCAACCAUCAUGUUUCAGUUUUCUGAUCUUUUGAUGUGUUUAUAUAUCAGCCUAAGUGGAACAUUGGUUCAAUCUUUUACAUCUCAGAGAAUUGAUUUAAUCUUUAUUCUAAAUCAUUUGUCUGCUCUGUUCCUUUUCGGUCAGUUCAGCAUAUCAUAAAUAGGGUAUGAGGUGUACAAUCAUCUCUCUACUUCCUAAUUUAGAGGGUUUACUCCAUGUAUGCUUCCUUCAGAAUGAUCUAGAUUUUGAAUCUUACAUCAAAUAAUAUUUCCUUCUGUGUGAGCCUAUCAAAAUCAUUUAAUCUCAGUACAUCUGGUCUUGAGCAUGCUAUAAGAUUUGUUGUAUCACUAUUUCUUGAACUACUCUCAAAGAUGAAUUCAUGAUAUCUUGCUUUUCCCUCGAUGAAAUUCUCAAUUAAUAGACUACCAACUUGUAAUCUUUUGGCUUUUUUCAUUUGCUGAGAAUUGAUUUCUGAAAGCCACUAAAUAAAAGUUAAGGCAUAAGUAAGGCAUAAGUUGUUUUUUAUUACUUAUCUUGAUAUCUCUGCUUAAUUUCUAUGCAAUUACUAGAGCAAGCUUAGUACAGAUUUCUUUCUGGGCUGCUUAAUUAGCUGUGAGUGUUAGCUAAAAUACUCACAUUCUACAAGGGAAAUGUUAAAAUCGGAACGGCGAAAAAUAGAUCCAGAAAAUAAUUUAAUGCAAGAAAAGAAAAGAUAAGGAAAGAACACACCGAUAUUUACGUGGUUCGGCCAACGGCUUACGUCCACGGGCGAAGACGGAGCAAAUAAUUUAUUAAUGUCGAAAAGGCGGAGUACAAAUAAGAUCUCUCAAAAGAACCCGAAAUUUAAUUAGAUCCGAAACGCCGCAACAAGAAACUCCAAUUUUGGCUUCUCUUACCUAUCCGUACGGACCAAAUAAAUUUGGCCUUAAUUAGCGCAUACGGCUAAUUAGCGCACACAGCUCUCUGCAACGGUUAAUUAGAGUUGCGGCCUCUCUCCUCUUAGCCGUACGGACCUCACAACAAGCUAGACAUAAUUAAUGCUUGGCUUCUUAAUUUCGUCGCGGCGGCUUCUUGAUCGUCCGGAACCAACAUGCAUUGCUUGGCUUAAUUAGAACGUGGCAUCUUAAUUUGGUCGCGGCGUCAUUAACUUGGCCGUAGCAUGUAUAUAUAAUACAUGUCUCCUAAUUAGAGUCUAAUUCUAAUUCAAUUAGAAUUACACUCCUAAUUAUAAUCCAUAUAUGCCAAAUUAAAUCUAAAUAAUAUCUAAUCCCAAUUAGAUUAGGAUUUAUCCUCAAUUUAGAUAACUACAAAUCUAAACCAAAAAUAACAGGAAAUCUGUCCCCACAUGUCCAUUGUGUAUCAUGGAAUUUUGUAACUAAAUUGGGACAAUUUCGUAAGUUUCUAUGGGGGGUGAAAUGCAUGUCUGUGGGAAUUGUUGAGUUUUUAUUUGCAUGGCAUUAUACAUGGACGAUCUUAUAAAUGAUAAUUACCUUAGCCUAAUACCAAUUAUAGUGUCUAAUUUAAUUAAAUUGAAAAUCAAUUAGAAUGAGGAUUCAAAGUUUUGUAAAAAAAGAUACAUGCAUGUCGAACCUUCGCAUUAAAAGAUAUGGAGAAAGGAGCACAGGUUGUGAAGGGAGAUAAAUCUCCUUUUGGACCUAAUAUUUAUUCAGAAAAUUUGGGUAGUGUAAUAUAUGACCAGAAACAUUUUCAAAUGACAACAUGGCAACUGCAGCAGCAAGGUUUUCCAUACUGACCACUUGCUUUCAGGUGUCACUAAGUUUUGAUUUCAUCGGCUGCAUAAUGGUGGAUGCCUUUUUAAUUGUUGUGGAGGUUCCGUUCAACAAUCAACCUUAUUGCCUCUUUCUUUCUUUUCUUUCCCUUAUAGUUUUUGUCAUUAUGUGAACGCAUCAACCUACUGCGAAUACUAUGUUAAAAUAGUUUGAUUAAAAAUGUACAUGGAUCCUCUCAACUACAGGCCAUUUUGAAAUUGAACCCUCAAUUAUUUUUCUUUUGAUUUUGGCUUCCUUGACUUUUGAUUAUUUUGAUUCAUGUUAUUUUCACUUGGAUAAUUUGGGGCUGUCAAAUAGCUUUUAAUUUUAAUGAUUCUCCUCUUCUAAUGUAUGAAAAUAAUAAAAUAAAAGAACAAUUAAAAUUUUGAUGGAAUCAAUCGGAAGAAAAACAGCUGAGUGAUCUAUUUCGAAAUAGCCUAUAGUUUGAGGGGGAUCUCCGUAACUUUUUAAAAGGUUUUCUGCGUUCAACAAUCCAUGUUUACUUCAUCUUUCAUUCGCGCACUCGUAUGGCUGAGCUAUGCUUUAAAUAUUGUGAUAUAUGAAACAGCUUUGCUAAUUGCUAUCCAGUCUUCCUAAAUCCUACUAAAUGCUAAAUUUACUGCAGUAUCCAGUAUCAUAUAUUUUACUCUAUGACAAUGAAACACUUUGUUGUAAUAUAUGUUGAUUUGGUGAUCCUUUAUUACUUUACUGUAAGAUGUGUAUAACACAAAAGCUGUCUGAUUUAAACUUGUUUGAUUUCAGUCAUUUCUUGUUAUUUCUUUCUUAGGGUGUUUGGUUCUUCGUAAAACUGUAAAAAAUAAUUUUCAGUGGAAAAAAAAUUUCAGAGGAGAAUAAAUUUUACGCUCUUUAAUGUUUAGUUUGUAGAAAAGAAAAAAUAGUUUUUUAUCACGGUUGUUUCGCUAUUUGGUUGAAAGAAAAAGAUAAUAAAAAUUGUAUUUUCUUCUAUUCUAUAUGUUUGCUUAAAUGGGUUAGUAUCCUGCCCUAUGGCGGGAGGACACGUGGGUCGAAUCUGCCCUGUGGCGGGAGGACACGUGGGUCAAGUCAUGUUCGAAAUAGCGUAAGGCUGGAUUGGGCGGAGUCAUAUUCGAAGUGACGUGAGACUGGUUGGGCCGAAUCACAAUCGAGAUCCAUGGGCGCUGUAUUUGUACGCUUUAAGUGAAUUGGUUGCGUACUUCUAAAAGCUCGAGCUUUUGGGAUUAAUAGUUAACGCCAACGAUCCGACACUAUAUACUAUAUAUAUUAUUAAUAUAUAAUAAUUAUCAUACCAUAUAUAUUAUUAUAAUUUAUAUUUGUAAAUUAAAUAUAUCAAAAUUAUAUUAUAUAAUAAAUUAAUAAAUAAUAUAAUAUAAUAUAAUAUAAUAUUAGUAUAUAUAUAAUGUUAUAUAAUAAAAAUAAAAAAUAUAUAUAAUAUAAAUUUU